AGCGGUUAAGCGGUUCAGCUGCUAACUGAAAAGUUGGUGGUUCAUACCCACCAGCCGCUU
rnacentral:tRNA from 1 species